ACACGCAGCCUGACGCACAAACUCCCUCAUGCAGGGCUGGCUUUCCAUGAGCUCCGCUUUGAUUCCCAGAUGCUCCAUCUACCACUGAUCCUCCUCCACAUUAUCCGGUUUCGAGGCACCGAGACGGGAGCAGCGCAGCCUCUGCCUGGUGCUGAAGUUGACUGCGCUGGAGCUAAUGCAAGGCAGAGGGGUACGAGCGAGGAGAGCCGCUCGGCAGCAGCACCUUGCCUGCCUGGCUGUGCCUGCUGUGCUGCAAUAUGCAGCUGCUGGUGAACCUUCUCUGACAGAGAUGAUUGGAUUCUGGAGACUCCCAGAAUGCAGCUAUUAGUUCCCCUGCCUACACUGAGCAUUCUGAAUCUGUGUGCGCAGUAACACUUAUUAAUACUGUUCAGAUUAAGUAGAGCCUAUAGCUCUCUAGCACUUCCAGUACCUUAUCCUACACAAUGCAUCUGCUCAGUGGCUGAACCACAGUCAGAUCGAUGUCUUACGACCAGCAUAACAGGAUCACGUGGAUCCAGCAGCAUUUUCAUGCUUUUAUGUCCAGAAGUCCCGCAUCCACUCCUGUGAGUGGUUCCUUUUUAAGUUGCAUCGUGCUACAAGGUAAUGCUGGCUGAGUAUUUGCAGGACGUAGGCCCAGAUCCCUUUAUUUUAGGACAUCGGGCAGUGGUUCCUGACACCCAAACAGUUAAUCGAGAAGCACUAACUCUCUACUGGAACGUGUGUGUGUGUGUUUUUGUUUCUUAGAGCCAAGAAGAUUUGCUUUGGUUUUUUUAAAGCAGAAACCACCACAAAGUUGGCUGUGGUUUCAGCUGCGCUCGUUCGAGAUUUGUGUUGCUGACUACCAAUCCUAAAAGAGUUAACCUAGCAAGCGUGACUCAGAAGCAGAGAGGGAGAUGCGAGGCUGAGAGGCUGGGAAGGCAGCACAGAAGCACAGGUGAGGAACAUAAUAAUCACCAAAAAAAAAAAGGUGCAGCGUCCAGGAGCGAGUCUCCCUCGGUGUGCCUGGCCCUGGCACUGCUGGCACGGGCUCCCUGGAAGGCUGCAGUUCCGCUGUUAUAACACAAGGAGCAGGCUGGAGAAUUUAGAGCUGCGUCACAGAGCUCAGCGAGAGAGCGAGAGAGCAAGCUCCGUCGAUAGGUCUACCAGCAACAGCCCUGCUGCAGCAAGAGGGGAGAGAGGCAGCCGGAAAGGGGGAGAGGGCUCAAGAAAGAGAAGUAAUACCAACACCAGGGACCAGGCUCCUGUCACCAGACGGUGUCAUUUAGAAAGCGUAUCUGGGCUCGGUUGGCGUAGGAGGCUUCGCCCGUUGACGAUGCUGGAGACCCGGCGCACUUAAUCCCGCGGGGAGGGAGAGUGGGCAGACACCGAAAGGGUUAACGGAAAGGAAAUUUCUGGAACCUUCUAUUCUGCGGCGCUACACAGCAAGCGGAGGGCUGAACGCUGCGCAGCUGGUGCACGGGCAGAGCUCCUCGGUCCGGUUCGUCUUUCCCACGUACGGUGGAGAUGAAGGACUUUCCCCCUCAGCCUGCAGCCAUGCGCAAGAUCUGUCUUCCUCUGGAAGCUGGUUUCACAUGGUGGCUUAGAUUUUCCCACUUUGUAUCUAGCACCAUUUGAAAUCAGUGUUCUAGGAGCAAGAAUUACAGCGUGGGAGGAGAUCAAGCAGCUGCUACCUUCACUGACAGCCUAUCCUCCUUAAACCAGCACUUUCCCCCAUCGUUAUUUGUUUGCCAGCCAUCCGUUUUGUAAUACCAUCUGAUUCCUAUACACUAUACAAUCACUGUAUACACCCUCUCGAAGCUAGGGCCACGGCAGGAAAAAAAAAAAAAUCUUCCUUCCAAUGUAUUUCUACCGAAUAAACAACGGCUACUGAGUUCAAGUUGUUCAGAGUAAAGUCAUCCAAAAGUUGCAUGGAAACCAGCACGGUGCUUCUUACACCCUGGCAGGCAAAGAGUACAUUUCCUCUCCUAUCCACUCACUAGGACGCUAGCAUUUAAUUUACUGUCUUGGAGCAAGCGUACUUUCCCUGCGUGCUUGGGGAUCUUCUCAUUGCAGCAUUACCACUCCGUAGCUUCCAGGGACUUGUUCUGCAAACACAGAAGCUCCCCCUGACAGUCUGAUCUCAACAGUCAACAAACCCCCACGUGCCUUCAAUAAUAGUGAUGAAAUCACGCUGAUGCACACAGAAUCCGCUCCUUUUGCUACUGCAGUUCCUUGCUGCUCCCUUCCAGUAAUCUUUUGCUAGACAUUUAUACUUUUGCAUCCAAACCACUAAAACGAAGCCAAACUAAACUACUUUCGCCUGACCUUGCUGCUGUCAAACACGUUUACGUGCACAGAAAGGGUGAUCACUGUGGAUGAAGCACUCGAUAGACCACUGAAUAGUCUUCCUUAAGGAACGCAUAGCUGUCAUCUACAAGAGGAUUCUUCUCUGAGCCAGAAAAAUGUCUCUUACACAGGCUGACCGAUUUCUCUUGGUGUUCAGAGUCUCAGUUUCUGUCUAGCACCAUUUGAAAUCGGUUAUGAUGUAGGGGGAAAAGCAACAAUAAUGGAAAACUUCAUUCCCCCCCAGCCCCAGAGUCCUAAUAAAUAAACGCCAGCCAAAGCACGACCUUGCUUCGCAAACAUCCCACGUGCUCUCCUGUUCUCUGAGCAGAAGUUACGCCUCUGACCGACCAUCCUGCACACAGGAGGACACUCAGCACCACAGCCCAGGGGAUGGAUGCUUCAGGGGAAAGCGGAGCAUCUGCUCAGCCAGCCAGCUGAGGUCCUUCACCUCGAGCAAGUCAGAGCCCACGCGCAGCAGCACGGCCACCCACCCACCCUCCUGCCCCCUGUAUCCCACGUGCUAUUCGUUUGCCUUAACCUGUUAUUUACUCACAUCUUUUCCUUUGAAAUAAAACUGUGUGCUACUUGGGAUCGGGCUCUGUCUCAGGCAGACAGAUGACGUGGUUCCCUGCUGGACAGCA